GCUUAGCCGUUAACAAAAACAGUAUGAACCACAACACUGUUCGCCAGAGAACUACAAGCAAAAGCUCAAAACUCCAAGGACUUGGCGGUGCUCCACAUCACCCUAGAGGAGCCUGUCCUAUAAUCGAUACCCCCCGAUCUACCUCACCACUUUUUGAAACUCAGCCUAUAUACCGCCGUCGUCAGCCUACCUUAUGAAAGAGAUACAGUAAGCAAAAUAGUCACCAACUAAAACGUCAGGUCAAGGUGUAGCACAUAAAGUGGAAGAGAUGGGCUACACUCUCUCCCCCAGAGAAUACGAACAGCACAAAUGAAACACUGCUCAAAGGUGGAUUUAGUAGUAAGAUAGACAAGAGAGCCUAUCUUAAACCAGCCCUGGAGCGCGCACAC
rnacentral:rRNA from 1 species